AGUGAACGCUGGCGGUAGGCCUAACACAUGCAAGUCGAACGGCAGCACAGUAAGAGCUUGCUCUUACGGGUGGCGAGUGGCGGACGGGUGAGGAAUACAUCGGAAUCUACUUUUUCGUGGGGGAUAACGUAGGGAAACUUACGCUAAUACCGCAUACGACCUACGGGUGAAAGCAGGGGAUCUUCGGACCUUGCGCGAUUGAAUGAGCCGAUGUCGGAUUAGCUAGUUGGCGGGGUAAAGGCCCACGAAGGCGACGAUCCGUAGAUGGUCUGAGAGGAUGAACAACUACACUGAAACUGAGACACGGGCCAUAACCCGACGGGAGGGAGCAGUGGGGAAUAUUGGACAAUGGGCGCAAGCCUGAUCCAGGCAUACCGCGUGGGUGAAGAAGGCCUUCGGGUUGUAAAGCCCUUUUGUUGGGAAAGAAAAGCAGCAGGUUAAUACCCCGCUGUUCUGACGGUACCCAAAGGAUAAGCACCGGCUAACUUCGUG
rnacentral:rRNA from 1 species